rnacentral:rRNA from 1 species
AACGGCCGUACCAUGCUGAAUAUACCGGUUCUCGUUAGAUCACCGAAGUUAAGCAUCAUUGGGCGCGGUCAGUACUUGGGUGGGUGACCACCUGAAAACACUGCGUGCCGUU